GGGGUUGUGGCUCAGCAGUAGAGCACUUGCCUAGCACACAAGAGGUGCUGGGUUUGAUCCUCAGCACCA
rnacentral:tRNA from 1 species